UCUGGGAAGAGGAAGAAAGAGACUGUCUAAGAGCAGUGGGAAUGGGAACAUGGAGGAAAGCAUGACUGUGUUUCUAUGUUUUCCUGGUGCCUCCCAUUCCUAUAGUUCUUAGGUGCUCCUUCCUCUUCCUUUGUCUU
rnacentral:pre_miRNA from 1 species